ACCUCUGUUAACGUUUUCCGGCGACUUUUUGUCUUUAAGUCGAAUCCGGAAGACGGGGAGUGGCUUUACAUCGCCCUUCGGGCGGGUCGGCCACUCUUCCAUGGUGCCCCUUCGUCCAUUCAUGGCUGGAAGGAGAAGUUCUUCUUUCUUGGCUCUGAACGGUCCUGGGGGUUUGACCCCCGGUGGGGGCCUACCCAUCUUAAGUCCAUCAACAGGACCCCCCCAGCUUUCUCCGCGUGAGCAGGAGACCCUCGACACCAUCCGC
rnacentral:lncRNA from 1 species